rnacentral:rRNA from 1 species
GAUGAACGCUCGCUGUGUGCCUAAUACAUGCAUGUUGAACGGGAUGUAGCAAUACAUUCAGUAGCGAAUGGGUGAGUAACACGUACCUAACCUACCUUUAAGACUGGGAUAACGAUUAGAAACAAUAGCUAAUACCGGAUAUAGUUAUUUAUCGCAUGAUGAGUAAUAGAAAGGAGCUUCACAGCUUCACUUAAAAAUGGGGGUGCGGAACAUUAGUUAGUUGGUAGGGUAAUGGCCUACCAAGACGAUGAUGUUUAGCCGGGCCGAGAGGCUGUACGGCCACACUGGGACUGAGAUACGGCCCAGACUCCUACGGGAGGCAGCAGUAAGGAAUUUUCCACAAUGAGCGAAAGCUUGAUGGAGCGACACAGCGUGCAGGAUGAAGUUCUUCGGAAUGUAAACUGCUGUUAUAAGGGAAGAAAAAAUAGAAUAGGAAAUGAUUUUAUCUUGACGGUACCUUAUUAGAAAGCGACGGCAAACUAUGUGCCAGCAGCCGCGGUAAUACAUAGGUCGCAAGCGUUAUCCGGAAUUAUUGGGCGUAAAGCGUCCGUAGGUUUUUUGCUAAGUCUGGAGUUAAAUGCUGAAGCUCAACUUCAGUCCGCUUUGGAUACUGGCAAAAUAGAAUUAUAAAGAGGUUAGCGGAAUUCCUAGUGAAGCGGUGGAAUGCGUAGAUAUUAGGAAGAACACCAAUAGGCGAAGGCAGCUAACUGGUUAUAUAUUGACACUAAGGGACGAAAGCGUGGGGAGCAAACAGG